CUGGAAACCAGAGGGUCUUGGAGGCUGGGGGUGCAGCCACUGAACUGACCUUUAACAUGGCUUACAGGAGAGUUGGCAGAACAAAGCGAGGAGGAGAUCUGCGAUCAACUGCUCUUUCUUUCCUUGAGGUGGAGUCCAAUUGGUGGCUGACGCAAAUGGAUACUAGAACAUUUGCCUACUGGUUAAUGGAGCGUGAUUCGAGAAGCCUUUGAUCGGUCGUCGUCGUCCUUGACGUGUUUUGAUGACCCAGACUCUAUUACUUCCCAAUAGUGACGAAUAAAAGAAUGGCACCGGUGGUUCCAAUUCCAAGCCAAAGCAUAAUCUUCACAACCAUCGAGUUGAUUGAAGGAGAAAUAAAGAGACGAAUCAUUCAUGUC